UACGUAGGGUGCGAGCGUUGUCCGGAUUUAUUGGGCGUAAAGAGCUCGUAGGCGGCUUGUCGCGUCGGAUGUGAAAGCCCGGGGCUUAACUCCGGGUCUGCAUUCGAUACGGGCAGGCUGGAGUUCGGUAGGGGAGAUCGGAAUUCCUGGUGUAGCGGUGAAAUGCGCAGAUAUCAGGAGGAACACCGGUGGCGAAGGCGGAUCUCUGGGCCGAUACUGACGCUGAGGAGCGAAAGCGUGGGGAGCGAACAGG
rnacentral:rRNA from 1 species